rnacentral:sRNA from 2 species
AAUCUAUCAUAAUCCACACACCGUGCAUUAUAUUGUUGGCCUGCCUGGAAGCAAUUCUGGGUAUGAAAUUCAUUUUCAGUUGUCAUACAUCCGGAUAACGUAUGUGUGGCAUCGGCCUUAUUAACCAACCAACACCAAAAUAUAAUUUAAUUUAUUUCGGGUGUUCAGCUUAGAGCUGACACUCACCAACCAAGACAACUCUCAACAACGGAUAUCUUGGCUCUCAGAUCGAUGAAGAACGCAGCGAAAUGCGAUACGUAGUGUGAAUUGCAGAAAUACGUGAAUCAUCGAAUCUUUGAACGCAAAUUGCGCUUGAGGCUUCGGCCAAAAGCAUGUCUGCCUCAGCGUCGGGUUAAUACUCGCUCCCUGUUCACCCAGGUGUGGCGGAACUGACUGUCUCGGCACUACUUCUAUAGUGUGCCGGGUUGGUUGAAGUAUGCAGUUGUUUUGGCGCACGUGGACCCGCCUUUAUGGUGGGUGUGCUUCCACUGGGUAGGCAAAUCCAAUUUGCUAAAUGCUUUAGUGGAUAGCUGAAUGCGUGUACGGCAAAACUCAAAGCAGGAAAAUUAAUCCUAUUUUCGACCUGAGCUCAGGCAAGA